AGUGAACGCUGGCGGUAGGCCUAACACAUGCAAGUCGAACGGCAGCACAGUAAGAGCUUGCUCUUACGGGUGGCGAGUGGCGGACGGGUGAGGAAUACAUCGGAAUCUACUUUUUCGUGGGGGAUAACGUAGGGAAACUUACGCUAAUACCGCAUCCGACCUACGGGUGAAAGCAGGGGAUCUUCGGACCUUGCGCGAUUGAAUGAGCCGAUGUCGGAUUAGCUAGUUGGCGGGUUAAAGGCCCACGAAGGCGACGAUCCGUAGCUGGUCUGAGAGGAUGAUCGGCCACACUGGAGCGGAGACACGCACCAGGCUCCUACGGGAGGCAGCAGUGGGGAAUAUUAGACAAUGGGCGCAAGCCUGAUCCAGCCAGACCGCGUGUGUGGAGAAGACCUUCGGGUUGUAAAGCCCUUUUUUUGGGAAAGAAAAGCAUCAGGUUAAUACCCAGCGGUUCUGACGGUACCCGAAGAAUAAGCACCGGCUAACUUCGUG
rnacentral:rRNA from 1 species